rnacentral:lncRNA from 13 species
AUGUCAUACUCUGACGAUGUCACACAUCCCUACCUGGGCUAACCAAAAGUAUGUCAAGCCAAACCACUUGUUACUCACUAGCUAGCUGCAUUGCUAAGCUAGCUAUUUAUCUUAAAAACCGUAGUCCAUAAACGUCCAAUAACGUACCGUCAGCAAACUGACCGCCAGUUGUAAAGACGAAACGCACUGGCAUCACUGAGGUAUAUAUGAACUGGCAUGUUAUGGCGUUUGCGAUCUACCUGGAAAGCUAACGACCUGGGUAGGUAGCUAGUUAGCGUAGCUAUCAUGCUACCUAUAGCUAGCAAGUUCAUAACAGUUUCAUCUAGCUAGCUAGAUACCGUACUUACGGGUUAAAGAGGUCGCUUCGACUAUAAGACCGAAUGUGGACAUCAAAGCACUAAAUUAUAUCUGCAACGUAAAAACUAACAUUACUAUCCCAAUUUUAGGCGAGUGGGUACUUCUGCACAAUCUGCAGUUGAUGUCUUGUUUCUGCACCAAGAGUGAAGCUGGCGUAGUUACCAUUGAAACUACGGCAGCUACGUAGCUAGCUAUCUGAACUGCAGUGCUCACUGGUUGGCUACGUAAAAUGUUUUUAAAGUGCCUUAGCUAUCCGUGGUAAGCCACUGGCAGAGAGAAGGGCUUCGACUUUAGUGUUGUCAUGUACACCGAAUACAUACAGCAGGUCUAAAACUGUACAGUGAAACUAGCUUUUAUGAGGUCUUUCCAACAAUGCAGAAGAACAGUAAUGGAUUCUCUAGCGGAAAAAGCAGCUAAUAUCAAAGUGAAUCACACUGUCACACAUCCUGCAAAAAAAUAUGGCAAACUUUUAGGGUAGCUACUUUGCUAAGCUAGAGAUUUUGCUCAGGGACAGGAAACCAGGAAACCCCGGGACAUUUCCUGAGACAUACAUCAGUACGCAACACCAUUUGUUCAAACAACAUUCUCUCCCAAAUCAAAUCAAAUCAAAUUGUAUUUGUCACAUGCACCGAAUACACAGGUGUAGACCUUACAGUGAAAUGCUUACUUACAAGCCCUUAACCAACAAUACCGUUUAUCUAAAAAAAAGUGUUAAGAAAGUAUUUACUAAAAUAAACUGAAUAUAUAUAUUUUUUAAUAAAUAAAUAAAGAAGCAGCCAAAAACUUACAGUAGCGAGGCUAUAUACAGGAGGUACCGGUACAGAGUAAAUGUGAGGAGGCUAUAUACAGGAGGUACCGGUGCAGAGUAAAUGUGAGGAGGCUAUAUACAGGAGGUACCGGUACAGAGUAAAUGUGAGGAGGCUAUAUACAGGAGGUACCGGUACAGAGUAAAUGUGAGGAGGCUAUAUACAGGAGGUACCGGUACAGAGUAAAUGUGAGGAGGCUAUAUACAGGAGGUACCGGUACAGAGUAAAUGUGAGGAGGCUAUAUACAGGAGGUACCGGUACAGAGUAAAUGUGAGGAGGCUAUAUACAGGAGGUACCGGUACAGAGUAAAUGUGAGGAGGCUAUAUACAGGAGGUACCGGUACAGAGUAAAUGUGAGGAGGCUAUAUACAGGAGGUACCGGUACAGAGUAAAUGCGAGGAGGCUAUAUACAAGUGGUACCGGUGCAGAGUAAAUGUGAGGAGGUUAUAUACAGUCGCAGUCGCAGCCAGGUCGCAGUUGCAAAUGAGAACUUGUUCUCAACUAGCCUACCUGGUUAAAUAAAGGUGAAAUAAAAAAAUAAAUACAGGAGGUACCGGUACAGCACUAUUGGCCCAGCAUCAUCCGUGUUUGGCCGGGGUAGGCCGUCAUUGUAAAUAAGAAUUUGUUCUUAACUGACUUGCCUAGUUAAAUAAAGGUUAAAUAAAUAAACGCAUUAAGAAGGAAAUACAUUCCACAAAUUAACUUUUAAGGAGGCACACCUGUUAAUUGAAAUGUAUUCCAGGUGACUACCUCAUGAAGCUGGUUGAGAGAAUGCCAAGAGUGUGCAAAGCUGCCAUCAAGGCAAAGGAUGGCUACUAUAAAAUAUAUUUUGAUUUGUUA